rnacentral:rRNA from 1 species
AUGUACUCCCUCCGUCCUGAAAAACACGUCGCAGGUGUAGUUCAUUGCCAGUUUUAUAAAAAAAGCCCUCGUAGUUUCAAAACAAUCACAAACAAGCCCUUCCACCCCGUCUUCUUCCUCCGCCGUCGCCCGUGCGUCUGCAGGGGGCGGCGGCGCCGCCAAGCUGCGCGAUUUGCAGCCCACCAGGAAGUGUUCCGCCUCCGUCGCCACGUACCUUCAACGCAGCUGCCGUCGCCAAGUACUUACUCCGCCACCGCCGCGUCGCCAAGUACUUACUCCGCCACCGCCGCGAUCCCAUCCCGCAGCGAUUACCUGCGAGCGUCGCUGGAAUUUCAACCACGAUCCGGUGGAGCAGGAGCUCCCUCUCAUCGUCCUCGAGCUCCCGCGAGUCCUCCUCGUGCUCCUGCAGUCCACCUUGAGCUGCCUCCCGUGCGCCACCGCGACCCACCUACGGGCAUCGUCGGAGCCGGCCUCCACGAUCCGGUGGACAGGAGCUCGCGCGCGUCCUCCGUGGUCUCCCACGUGUCGCCGUGGUGCUCCUUCUCUGCCUGCGUGCCCGCCGGUGGUGCUAGCCCGUGCUGCUGCAUCUUGUUUCUCCUCUGUUUCUCCCCUGCCACCGGUGGAGCUAACCCGUGCUGCUGCUGCUCCUCUUCCCGUGUUGAUGCUACUGCUCUGCCUGUGCUUCUGUUGCUGAUCCGUGCCGUGUUGCUGUUGUUGCUGUUGACUCCCGCCGUGACUGCUGCUGCUGGUGCUAUUUGCACUCUGAAGAAGGUACUCCAUCAGAGUACUGCUACCUGA